CACACUCCAAGCGAAGCUUGAUGUUGGGCGAAGCGGUACCCACCGCCCGCCUGGAACGCGUGGGCGCCCGCUGCCGGACCGCGAACGUAGCAAGACAACUCGUCAAGUCGUUCUGCGGGCUCCGACAGGGGGCAGCCUCAUAAACCAUUUUAUAUCCAGU
rnacentral:misc_RNA from 1 species